UACGUAGGGUGCGAGCGUUGUCCGGAAUUAUUGGGCGUAAAGGGCUCGUAGGCGGUUUGUCGCGUCGGGAGUGAAAUCCACUGGCUUAACUGGUGGCUUGCUUUCGAUACGGGCAGACUGGAGGUAUGCAGGGGAGAACGGAAUUCCUGGUGUAGCGGUGAAAUGCGUAGAUACUGGGAGGAACACCAGUGGCGAAGGCGGCUACCUGGACCGGUUCUGGACGCUGAGGCGCGAAAGCGUGGGUAGCAAACAGG
rnacentral:rRNA from 1 species